GAUGAACGCUAGCGACAGGCUUAACACAUGCAAGUCGAGGGGCAGCACGAUUUGUAGCAAUACAGAUUGAUGGCGACCGGCGCACGGGUGAGUAACGCGUAUGCAACUUACCUAUCAGAGGGGGAUAGCCCGGCGAAAGUCGGAUUAAUACCCCAUAAAACAGGGGUCCCGCAUGGGAAUAUUUGUUAAAGAUUCAUCGCUGAUAGAUAGGCAUGCGUUCCAUUAGGCAGUUGGCGGGGUAACGGCCCACCAAACCGACGAUGGAUAGGGGUUCUGAGAGGAAGGUCCCCCACAUUGGAACUGAGACACGGUCCAAACUCCUACGGGAGGCAGCAGUGAGGAAUAUUGGUCAAUGGACGAGAGUCUGAACCAGCCAAGUAGCGUGCAGGAUGACGGCCCUAUGGGUUGUAAACUGCUUUAUAAGGGAUAAAGUGAGUCUCGUGAGACUUUUUGCAUGUACCUUAUGAAUAAGGACCGGCUAAUUUCGUGCCAGC
rnacentral:rRNA from 1 species